CCGACUCUUUCUGACCCCAUGGACUAUAUGUCCAUGGAAUUCUCCAGGCCAGAAUACUGCAGUGGGUAGCCUUUCCUUUCUCUAGAGAAUCUUCCCAACCCAGGGAUCAAACCUAGGUCUCCCACAUUCCAGGCAGAUUCUUUACCAGCUGAGCCACCAGGGAAGCCCAAGAAUACUGGAGUGGAUAGCCUAUCCCUUCUCCAGGGGAUCUUCCUGACCCAGGAAUUGAACUAGGGUCUCCUGCAUUGCGGGCAGAUUCUUUACCAACUGAGCUACCAGGGAAGCCUUGAUGUGCAGGCAAACAGCAAUUCAAGUGAUGGCUGAUUUCUCAUAGAAAAGCAGAGGCCACAGAAAGACAUGGAUGAAGCCUGAAUACAUAUUGCUAAGUGUAAGAAGACCUGAAAAGCCUACCCGACGUGUGAUUCUAACACGUUGUUAUCUAGUUGCUCAGUCGUAUCUGACUCUGCGACCCUGUGAACUGCAGCACGCCAGGCUUCCGUGUCCUUCACUCUCUCCUGGAAUUUGCUCAGACUCCUGACCAUUGCCUCAGUGAUGCCCUCCAACCAUCUCAUCCUCUGUUGCCCCUUUCUUCUCCUGCCCUCAAUAUUUGAAAAGCCAAAGGACAGAUUUAAAUGAACAUGGAGAAACAUUGAAGUAAGAAAGCAGGAGAAGGGAACAGAGGGACAGAGGCCAGGGGGACAAACAAAGCAAACAGUGGAAUGGAGACAAAACCCAGUCGGACUGACGGUCACGGUCAAAGUCAACAGUCUGAACUCCCAACCCAAGGUUCAGGAUCACAGCCAGCGAUUACUAAACACCAUUCCACGGUGAGUCGGCAACCAUGUUACCCAGCAAGGCAAGGAGGGAGGAGCAGGGCUGAAGGCAGGCGAGUCCUGGAUCAGGGACCAGCGCUGACCCUGGGCUUAACCAGGGACCACGUGUGAUGACUGAGCCUCAGCCCGGGGCUAGGACCACCAUGGGCUUCCAGGACCUUGAAGACUGGUGGAGCUUCUGUUCAGAGGCCAGCGGGUCUGCUGACCACACUGCCCCGGGGUGCCCCACACCCCCAGGCGGGUUCCCUCAUUCCCUGUGGAGGCAACCUCGUGGGGCCCCAUGUCCCUCCACUGUCAGGGAACAGGAGUGUGUUCUCACCCACACAGCUGGAAAUCCCAGGUGGCCCAGUGAGCUGAGCAGCCCCAGAGCUCCCGUAGGAAGACUCUGCAACCCUCUGGUCAGUACGUGGGGAGCUGAUUUCACUCUGCAGGGAUCAACUGGCAAGAAGGUCAUCACCCAAAUGGACAACGUUCAGUUCAGUCGCUCAUUCAUGUCCGACUCUUUGUGACCCCAUGGACUGCUGCACACCAGGCUUUCCUGUCCAUCACCAACUCCUGGAGCUUUCUCAAACUCAUCUCCAUUGAGUCAGUGAUACUAUCCAACCAUCUCAUCCUCUGUCAUCCCCUUCUCCUCCUGCCUUCCAUCUUUCCCAGCAUCAGAGUCUUUUCCAAUGACUCAGUUCUUCCCAUCAGGUGGCCAAAGUAUUGGAGUUUCAGCUUCAGCAUCAGUCCUUCCAAUGAAUAUUCAGGACUAAUCCCUUUUAGGAUUGACUGGUUAGAUCUCCCUACAGUCCAAGGGACUCUCAAGAGUCUUCUCCAACACCACAGUUCAAAAGCAUCAAUUCUUCGGCGCUCAGCCUUCUUCACAGUCCAACUCUCACAUCUAUACAUGACCACAGGAAAACCAUAGCCUUGACUAGAUGGACUUUUGUUGGCAAAGUAAUGUCUCUGCUUUUUAAUAAGCUAUCUAGCAUGGUCAGAGCUUUUCUUCCAAGGAGCAAUCAUCUUUUAAUUUCAUGUCUGCAGUCACAUUCUGCAGGGAUUUUGAAGACCCAAAAAAUAAAGUCUGUCACUGUUUCCA
rnacentral:lncRNA from 1 species